rnacentral:lncRNA from 1 species
UACAAAUGUAUGGCGAUACAAUAUUUUCAAAACGAUGUGGGGAUUCCCUCGGGUCCUCCCUCUUGAUACCUUCAGAAACCCGAGCAACGGAUACCUCUUCAAUGGAGAUCACUGCGAGUUUGGUGUAGAUGUGACUAUUCAUACACCCUUUCAAAGAUCAGAACUUUUCACUGUCGCUAGGAAUUUCCCUAACCCGAGGUUCACCUGGAAUAUUCAGAGGUUCUCCACGCUGCUGGGAGAGACUUACUUCUCUGAUGUGUUUUCCAUCGGAGGAAGAAAUUGGUAAGUCCAACAUUAGUUCAAGAGUAGAACUCUUUUGCUUUAGCUAGAAUAUAGUGGUGGUACGUAACAAAUAUUCCAUAUGAUGAUCAGGAAUAUACAAGUGCAUCCAAGUGGCGCUGUAACGGGAGAGGGAAGAGCCUUGUCGAUGUAUCUUCUCCUUAAUGCGAACGAGAGAUUCAGACCCUAUGAGAAGAUUUAUGUUCGAGCCCAGCUUAGGGUUCUUAACCAACGUGCCUCGUCCCAGUGGAGAACCAUCGAAAGGCCAAGUAAAGCAAAUGAUAUAUAUCAGUACUUUAUACUAUGGAAACAUCCCUUGUGACUAAUGAAUGGUUUCUGUCAACUUCCUCCUUUUUUGGCAGUCGAUCAUUGGUUCACUGGUCCGGGAUUAGGUUGGGGAUACGAUGAGUUUGUCCCUCUAGCUGAUCUCAGGGAUCCAGAGAGAGGUUAUCUAGUGAAUGAUAAGUUGAUGGUUCAAGUCGAAAUGGAAGCAAUUUCUUCAACCAGGUACUUCCCUAGUUAGAAUUCUCUAACCAAGGAACUUGUAGCUCUAUGUAAUUUGCUAUCUUACCAAAACCACUUAAUAAUAAGAAAUGUAUGUGUGUGCGUAUCAAAUAAAUGUGUUCUGUAUAUAUCAACCAUCAUAUCUAUUUUUUCUGCAAUGAUCGACGACGUCUACAGCGGUUCAAAAUCGCAGCUCAAAAUCUGGUUAUAUGUUUAUCAGAAAAAUCUGGUUAUAUUUGACGUUUUAGAGGAAUUUUUUUGUUCCAAAUUAUUUGACGCUUUCAAUUUUCUAUGUAAAAUUUAUUACUAAUUAAUGUUUGAUGACCAAUGAAAUUAUAGUUUCUAUUUUAUUAUUGGUUAAAUUGUGGUUAGAUAAACAAUUAAUGAUGUUUUUUCUAGAAAAUUAAAUGUUUUUUAAUCUAAGUGCACAAUUCUAAAACGUCAUAUAUAUAAAAUUACGGAGGGAGUAUUGUCCUUCUAGCAUUAAUUGGAAACGAAACUGACUAUUUUAUGACCAUACUAGUGUUUUGUUUCUUCAAACAAAAAAUAAAAACGCACUUCAACACAAUAUAUUAAAUAUAUAGCUCACAUGUUCGUUAUAAGAGAGGCAAAAUGUAAAAAGUCACAAUUUUCGGUAUUACGCGUGAUCGUGAUUAUAAUGAGACUAGAUACAAGUUUUUUUUUCUGAAAAAGGCGACUAGGCACAAGUUACUUAUUAGUGAAUCGAUUCCGUAAAAGAUCAAUAAUGUGUGUUGGUUGUAGAUUAUUUGACUUAACUAAUUAGAACACCUAAAGUCACACCACGCUUCUUAUUUAUUUACAUUUAGAGCAUCUUUAACUCAUGGGAUGCUUAUUAUUAUUAUUAUUAUUUUUUUUUAUUUUGCUGAUUAAAAAAAAAUUAAAACAAAUCAAUCGUGGACUGUCACGUGUCAGUGGAGUCCGCGUAAUAGUGUAAGCGUUGAUGCUUAAUUUGGCAGUUUUGGCACGGGUGCUUCCUCUUUCUUGGUGGAGCUCACCCCUGUCCACCCCUUAGCACUCCCUUAAGCACCUUCAUUAAUAAUGCUCUUACGAUGCUUCCAUUCAAAAACGGAUACGAAAGCUUUUGGCAUGCUUCUAAAUGUUUAUGAAUUCUUUUUCUUUUUACUAAAUGUUUAGGAGCCCUUUGAUCAUGAAUGUUUUCUUUCUUGGAUCAAAAUACCCUUUUAAAACACUUUCUUAAAAAAUUUAUGACUACAUUCAUAAAUAAUGCCAUUUCUGUCGGAGAGUUUAUCUCACUCUCUAGCCUCAAAGAUUCAUCAUAGGGUUUUGUGAAUCAUGUGUUGAUGGUUGCAAAUCGAAAAAGAAGCAAUUUUUCAACAGAGUACUUCCCUAAUUGGGUGUCUCGUUUCUCUAACCAAGGAAAUUGCAAGUCCAUAUUUGCAUUAUUAUCAACCACUUAAUAAUAUGAUUUUAACACACAUGAAUGGUCUAAUGAUAAAAGGAAUUUUGAUGAGGUAAGCGAUCCAGAUUCAAAAAAACUCAACAACACUAAAUAUAUGAAUAUUUAAUUCUCAUUGCGAGCAGCCAGAUUUGUCCAGUGCCGGUAAACAGGUCUCCAGAAAAAAUAUUUGGUUGGGAUUCAGUCCGUCGGACACUUCUGAUUACUCAAAAGAAUAUAAUAAUAAUAAUAUGAUUAUGUGUAUGCAUUUUAAAUGAAUGAGUUUUUAUCAUAGAAACAAUACUUAAAAAUGUACGACUCUUCUUGAAAGGACUAAUGGAGAUUUGCGUAUUUAUCUCUCUCUCUAGUUUUUUCUCUCCCACUUCUCUCUAAAAAACUCUCGACACAGGAACUCGUUUCGGUGGCCGGUGGCCUACCGCUCCCGGUUACCAUUCCCUUUUUGUCUUUUGUUUUUUUUGUAUCAUAUUUCUAUUCCGUUAACCGGAUAAAAGUUUCGCUAGGCGAUUUGCUCUUCGGUCAAUAGAUCGAUCAAUACUUCCGCGUAGUCGGAUCUAUCAUCGCGAGGCGAUUUUGUUGUGUUAAUAAAUCCCGAUCAUCUCUGAUCGGAUCUUGUAAAAUCUAAAACUCUCCUCUUCUGCAAAAAAUAAAUGUUUUAUUCCAUUUGCUUGGGAUGGAUUCUCAAUCUAUUCAAAGAUAAGCACUUAAUCCCUUUCGAUAAGAGUCAAUCUUUACUUUCUUAUAUACGCCGAUAGGCUUUAGUAAAGUUUCUUAGCGAGAAGGAAGCGGUGGUGUUAGAUUGACAAUCGGGUGGCUUUAAUAGAGAUUUAGUAGAGCCGGCGUCUUCAAGACGGUCCAGCAAAAGAUCUCUUAUGGGUCAAUCCGUAUUAUCUUGGAGUUAUAAUCUGCGGUGGAUGGAGUUCUAUGUCCUCAAGCAAAGGUUGGGGCAGAAGUGGAGUAAGAUGGUUUUGGUGAUUACAGAGAGGUUUCCAUGGAGCGACGGUGGUGAGAAGCAAAAGUGGAGGAUCGGCACAGAAAAUUUCCGGCGGCGAAGAGGCAAGGCGUCCGCUGCCGUUUCGCAUGUCAGACAAAUCUCAUCAACACGUGUCUUUGUUUUCUUCAGCAAACGGCACGUGGAAAUGACAGAAACCGAACUUCAUUUGUGAUUAGUUUGAAGAGCUUCUCUAGAAUUUUAUGUUAAUGGAUCAUGUUUGUAAUGUCUCAAACCAUGUAAACAGCCUUUUGGGCUCGUUAAUGAAAAUAUGUUGACAAAAAAAAAAAAGAACUAAUGAUUUUUACCCAAAAAAUUGUCUAUGGGACAUUUAAUAAUAAUAAUUUUCUCAAAAUCUCAAAAUGUAUUGACUGUUCUUCAAAGCACCAAUGAUUAAUUAAAAAAUUGUUAUUCAUGACCAUAUAACAACUAUUUUCGAGUCUUGAUCUUCAAGCGUAAAAAGGUGUUUUUACUCACAUAUGGUAAAUACGAGUCAACAGCAAAUGAUGCAAAAAAAAAAAAAAAAAAAACUAGAUACAUCAUCAUAGGCUUACAGAAAUCAUUACAGAUGGAACAAAUGAAAACAAUACUUAUAGAAAUUAUUGUUUUGCCAAAACGCCAAUAUUAAAAUGUGCAAGUAAGCUACAUUGAGUACAUUCUUCUUCAAUAAAAAAAAACUAGAUCGAUAUAUCAUCAUAGGCUUAUGAGAACCCUUUAACAAACAUAAAAAAAGUCAUCAUAGGCUUUGGAUACCAAGGAAAAGCACUGCCAAAGAACAAAUGAAAAUCUUCUUGAUUCCAUCACAUUCCUAUUAUAUAUGCUUUACUAAAAUGUUAAACAAUUCCUAUUCAAUAUCCAGUAUAACAGCCGUUCUAUAUAUGUGAUUAUUCUUGAAAACAUACAAUAUAUUUUUUUUGUUCUAGUGGCAAAUAUCAAUUUGCAUACUUGAGUUGAUAAAUUUAUAUUUGAGUUAACUAAUCAGUCUCUAUCCAUCCAUUAAGCAUGUAAAUUUUCCAAAUUUUUUAUGAAGUGCUUCUUCAUAAAUUAAAUAUGGAUUUUAAUUUUAAAUAUCCAACAAAUAAUAUAUGUUUUCCGAGAAAAUAAAAAAAUUAGAAUUUUUGGUUGUUCAGUCGAUUUGAAAUUUGGAGGAUUUGCCAAAAUAACACAAAACUUCAAUUCAAAUUCAAAUGUAUACCUUAAAUUCAAUAAAAUAAAAAAAAUAACUUUAAAAAUAGCAAAAUUACAAUUAUAUUCUCUUGUAAACACUUUUACGAUUAUAGUGGUCAAAUAUAUUUUUUAAACUAUGAAGUCUUAUUCGAGAAGACUUAUCGAGAAGUCCACUCACUUUGAGAAGAUUUUUUGAUAAGUCUAUUCAUGUAUUUAAACAUAAAAUUAAUUUAUGAAAUUAUAAAAAUUGAUGAAAAGUCAAUUAAAAUCAUAUAAAUAUAAAAAUUCUUAAUCGCUUAGCCCGCCGUGCUAGGAAGGAAACAUCUUUUGUAGUUCACAUGGAUCAAGAUCUUCCAGUGUAGUUCACAAAAUCAAUAUGAGCCUGUAAAGUUGAUGACAAAAAAAAAAUUCUAAAUCAUGCAAAUUUAAAUUUAAUAAAAUUUAAUUGUUUUCCAUAUAGAUGAAUGAAUAUAGUUCAUGAUUGUCCAUUAGUUAUGAUUUGGUAACAUAUGUUCAAGUAACACUGAUACUUUAGGGUUAGAUUUUAGAAUAAUAUUUUUUAAAAAUAAAAUUUGACGUAUAAGGGUUUAAUUUUAUUUAGAAAUUGAUUUUAUGUUCAAUAAAGUGUUUAUUACUAUCUAGUUAAAAUAUUUGAUUUUAUGGUUUAGAGUUAGAAGACUCCUUAAAAAGUUUACCAAGAAGUUAUUCACUUGCAAACUUCUUCGGAUCAAAAGUCUUCUAGUAGUGAAGACUUUUGCAAAGUAUUCACUAUCAAUUUUUUAAACUAAUUGAAAUUAUUGUCUUCUUAUAUAAAAAAAUUUACACAUUUUUUCUCUUUCUCUCAGAUGAUGAUUAAAGAAUGUAAUUUUUUCACUAUAAAACUCUACAGCCUUUGUUUAAUCUUUUUGAACUUAAAAACAUCAAAUCCUUAGAUCAAUUUCUCAUCUUUUUUUCUAAUGUAUUUCUCACUUUUUGUUUUUGCAGGUUUUCAUUCUAUGGUUUUCAUUUUCCGCUCCUAAAAAUUAUGUCUAUAAAAUUUUCUAGAUAUGUAUUUGUGUUUUGGUUUGUUAGAGUCGCAUAAAACUAUAUAUUCAACCUAAUGUAAUUGUUUUAUAUAUUAUUUAAGCAUAAAAAAUCUAUCAAUUACCAAUACAUAAAAUGGAAGACUGUGAGAGGGAGAGGGAAGCAUGGCCAGUGUGAUACGUGUUUCUUUUAACUAGCUAUGGUUUACAUUGCAAUGCUGGUUUCUUCUGGCCUUUGCCUAAGUUAACUCUUAGGUUGAGAAUUUCUUUUACCAUGAAGAUUUUUUGAGCAAGCUUCUCCUUACUAUAAGGUUAUUUUACCUUAGAGCAUCUUUAUCUCAUAUACCAUAUAAAGGGUUUCUUUUUCUUUUCUUUUUUUUAGUUUUUUCUGACUAAAAAAAAAUUAAAAAGUGGACCAAUCAAGGACUACUACGUGUCGGUGGGACCCGCAAACAGUACAAAAAACACACAGCAGAUGUCUCUUAUUCUGCCCACUUUGCAUACGGUUUUUUCUAAAACCUGGGCCCCCACCGCUUUAGAGACGCUAAAAAGGAUGCGAUAAUCAUGCUCUUAGCAUGUAAACGUUUAUGUUAUUUUAAUUUGAAAGUUUUUAGUCAAUUUUUUUUUUCCAUUUGAGAUACUUGAAACAACUUCAAAAAUCAUAUCUCAUCAAAUUUCUCGCCACUAAAAAAAACAAUUUUCAAACGUGGAAUUUUAAAUAUUACAAAAGCAUGUUGUGUGUGCAAACACGAUAGUAAAUAGCUUCAUUAGAUUUGUAAAAAAUGAUGUGCUCAAAUUAAUUCUAAUGAGCAACUCUACAGUUUUAGAGGUGCAAUGUAGUACUUGGAAAUCAUAUACACAUGGACUUAGAUCACACAAUAGAUUUUAGUUAUCAAAUUAUGCUAGACAAGUAAAUAGAAAGCUAGUUAAUACCUUUAAAUAAAAUGGUUUGUAAGUGAUUGAGAAAAGUGUUAAUCUUAGGGAAAUUGACAGCUAAAUGAGAAUUGUAGAACAAACAAUUGCCAAGUGUUUAUGAAAAACAAUUCUAAAUUUUAAAUCACAUCAAUCAAAUCAAUCAACUUUCGUUUGAGAGAUAAUCUAUGCAUAGAUCCUAGAAUUCCAAAUCAAUUUGUGAAUUCAAUCAGUUAAGAGAAUGAUUAAGACAAGAUUUGAUAAGUUCACUAAAUCCCUAAACCAAUUUUUUUUGCAUAUAAGUAUUUAGCUCAUCACCAAAUAUUAGUUCAGGUAAAUCAAUAAUGCUUUCGUAUCUACCAAUUAUCCUAAGAUCUAUAUUUCAGGUUGUCAAUCCAAAUAUAGCAUUAAGAACAAUCAAAAUGAAGAAUAAAAGAUAACCCUAACAAGUCAAUAUAAUAUUUCAUCAAUUUUUGAAGAACCUUAAAUCUAAUAUGUGGUUUAUUUAAACAUGAUCAAUGUAACACAAAUCUUAAUAAGUUGCAUUAAUAAAUCAAACUAAGAGAUACAAUGAAGGAGUUUUAACUUGUCUCUUCAAAUCUCUCUAAGAUAAAAGUAUAGCCUAAACAAUGACUUCAGAAUAAUUAAAUAUGUCUAAAACUCGUUAGAGACUUUCUUGCAAAUACUAAAAAUUUUCAGGCCAAAUUGCAAUUCUUUGAAACUUGUAAAAACUUGUCAGGACUCUUGGUCAGGAUGGGUAUUAGAUUGACACCAGAUUGAAAGUUUGACACCAAGAUCACUUUUUCAGCUCUAAUUUUCAGUAUGCUCCAAAUUGAGUUAGAAUUUCCAAUCUUGUCCAAAAUGUACAUGAACUUAUAAAGACUCGAAAACGAUUCGACACAUAAUAAAAACUCUAAAAUAUAAUUUAUAUCAUGGUUAAAAUUCAUAAGGACAUGAUAAAAAAAAAUUAAUGGUGGAUAAAUCCAUAAAUAAAUUACGUAACGAUCGAAAUUCUACAGUGCAACAAAUACAGGAGUGUGUUUUUUUUUAACACGAUAAAGGAGUAUGUUUUAAAACUUUUAUACAGGUUUUUUAUUAAUACAAAAAUCAGAUAUAUAUAUAUAUAUAUAAUCCAAAACAUCAAUUAACCAAUCCAACUCCAGCAUCCACUGUGAUUAGGAAGAAAUAACCGUAGACAAUACUAUAAAUUUUUACUAUAAAAAUUAAUAUCAGAAUUCAUUAUUAAAAUUAUUAUUUUUUGAAAUUUUAUUAUAUUCAUUCCGUUUCAUAUACAUGAUAUUUCAGAAUAUAAGAUGUUUUUAACAUAUUUAUACAACUUUAACUUUAUUAGAAAAUGUUUAAUUAAUCAUAUUUUUACUAUAUUUUAAUGACUGGUUGAAUUAUUUUUUAAUUUAUAUUUUUAAUAGCUUUUUGUUACAUUAAAUUAAAAAAUUCAAUAUUUAUGGGAACAAAUUAUUAUAAAUCAUCUGACGGAUCCAGAAAAAUCAUCUGACGGGAGCACAAAUUUUAUAUUAAAAUAAAUAAUAUAUUAUUAGUAGAAUUAUUAUAAAUUAUAAUAUUAUUUGCCUCAUAAAAUUAUAUUUAUUAUAAAAAAAUUUUAAAACUUUUUUAUGGCUGAAAAAAAAAAAUUACUACUAUGAGUAAUCAUAAAAAAAAAAUAAAAUUAGUAAUGUAACCAUAACAACACAUUAAUGUAAAUAAAAUUAAUUUUAAAUGUAUAGAACAAGAAGUCUAUAUAAUAUAUAGUAUAAGAAAGAUUAUUAUAAACUAUAAUUUUAUUUGACUCAUUAAGUUAUAUUAUAUAUAUAUAUAUAUAUUUUAAACUUUUCUAAUAUUAUUAAUCAUAACAACACACUUUAAAUAAAAUUAAUUUAAAUGUAUAGAAAAAGAAGUCUAUAUAAUAUUAUGUAAAUUUAUACUACAUAAUAUUAUUAAUCAUAACAACACACUUUAAAUAAAAUUAAUUUUAAAUGUAUAGAAAAAGAAGUCUAUAUAAUAUUAUGUCAAUUUAUACUACAUAAUUUUACUUAUCAUAUCACAAGGAAUUAAAUUCUAAAGUGUUAAUAAAAAAUGAAUAGAUUGUUUACUAUUUUAAAAUUAACUAAUGUUUUAUUUACUAGCAACUCAUAAUAUGGAUUUUAAAGACAAUGGAUCUCUAUACGUCGUUUGGAAAAAAGUAAACUUAAAGAUAAAAAUAUAAUGGAAAGAAAUAACGAAAUAUGAAAGCCAAUUCAAAAGAAAAAAGAAAUAAGCCAUUUUAUUAAAAAAUAUAUGUAAAAAAGAAAGAUAGAGAAGAAAUGAAAUAAGUCUGGAAAAAGGUAAGAAGAAUAAAACUGAAGCGUGUCAAUUGCCACAUAAAACAUUAAAUGCACAUAAAAUAAUUUGUGAGUUGAUCGAACUCUCAACACUGGAACCAGACGGGACACUUUUACCAACGAAGCUACCAGAAAAAAAUCUAACUGACAAAAGUUAUAUAAGUAGUCGGGGGCAUGCGCCUCCCCUCGGGACAAAGCCAGGUUACCCAUUAUGGGGGCCUGUGCCCCCGCAAUAUUAAUUGAUAAUGUAAUUUUCGUGUAAAUAAGCAUCUGUAUCAACCAAGGUUCGAUUCUACUUUUUGACAUGUUUCUAUUUUAUUAUAAAGAGUGCACCCAGUAAUUAUAUAUCCUGGAUUCUCCCCUGGCCCCCCGUAGCUUACAUUGUAGAUCCGUCCCUGGUUUUAUCUAUUACAUCAUAUAUUAUCAUAUAUUAUGAAAUAGAGAGAGAGUAACUGUUGUGGCGAAUCUUGUACAAAAAAAACUGUUGUGGCGAUUUAAACAUUCAGAAAACUCCGGUAAGAAGUUACAUUGUAAUUUUGUGCAUGCGAUUGCAUGCCCAUUUUGUCAAUAAUAUACACGCGUUUGCAGUAAUCAACGUGAGAAUAUUAUAGAUGCACGCGUAUGCAUGGAUCAGCAACUGUAUUUUACGUGUGUAUUAACUGUGUGCAUGAUGGCAUUCAUUUUUAUUUAAUAAAUUAAAUAGAUAACAAUUAUUUUCCAAUAAAUAGCAACAAUUGGAAAACUUAUUUAGCAAAAAAAAAAACAAUUGGAAAACUUUUUUUGUGUAAAAAAUAGUAUAUUAUCAUAUGAUCUCUCUCUUUUUCAUGCAUGCAUUCGCGUGUAUAUAGACACGAAUAUACAUGCAGUUUCCUGCUUUAAAAAUAUUACAAUAUAUUUCAAAAAAAAAACGUAACAACAUGUAUGAUGUAAUAAUUUCAUAAAUAUAUUAGCAUUGACAGAAGCACCUAUUGAUGAAGCGGAAGGUUUAUAUGAUAGAAUUAGAUAUCCGUUGAUUCUAAGAAUACACGGAAAACUAUAAUAAUAUAAAGAUUUUAUUUAGUCUAAGAAUGCAUAAGAUCAAUAUCUUCUUUAAAUUCGUUGAGAUCACCAAUGAUCUACCGAAAACAAGUAACAUAGAAAAAACUCUUAACUUUUAUUAAUUAAUCAAAAACUUGGAUACAACUCUAGGCAUAAGAAACCUAUAUAUGUGAAAACAUAAUAACUAUGAAAACCCUAAUCCUAAUUAAAAUAGAAAAAACUAUUAAAAUAAAGCUAAUACAAAUAAAUGGUAAUUAUCCUAAUUCUAAGCUGCAUCACCUAUCCCUCCUAUCAACUAUAUAAGUCUCACACGUCUUUGUACUCUACACUUCCCAUUCAUAUAUACAAUCUCAAAAGAUGAAGAGUCACUACACAAACAUCAUUUAUGUUGUUUUUCUCUUAUUUUGUCUUUUGAUCACAUCUUCCUCUGCACAAUCCCUCAUACGACAACCCACUGAUGACCUAAGCACAAUUCUACAGCGUAUGCAUGCAAUAUCUUAUCCUCUAAAUUCGAACCCAUAUUCAAGAAAUCCUUUAAUGUCUUUUAGAUUCUGUGCUUCUGCUGUGUGUUUUCAAACAGUGUGAUAGAGACAGUUCCUCUAUUUUACUCAAAUGCUCUGUUUUUGUCAAACAGAGAAGAAUGGAGCGCAACCAAACUCAAUCCUGGGAGAAGCGCAUUACUUAAAUAAAGAUGAUCUAGAGAUCUAUUCACGUGAUUAUAAAGGCUCACCUUCAAACUUAGUGACGGGUAUGAGAGACCGUCCUCCAAUGUCUUACUCUCUCAGAAUGGAGUCUUUCAACACGCUCCUUCAGUCAAAUGAGACAGAAAGAUACGAAUCUCGUCCUUUUCCCGUUGGUGGAUACAACUGGUAUGUUGGUAUUCUGAUAUUAUUUAUUCCGGAUCUAGAACCCGUUCUAAGCAUAAACAAAGUGAAAUAUCAGUCCAUUGUUUUAAAAUUUUAAGAAUAUAUAUAAGCUCCAAAAUUUGUUUAAAGAAAAUCUAUUAAAAAUUUUAAUGAAAUUAGUAAAUUUUCUAUAGUCCCAUAAUCUCGUGUCCGAAUCGAAUAUUACAUAUUAAAAACCUUUUGAUGGAUCUUGUUAUACAGGUCACUUAUUGUGUAUCCCAACGGGAACAGGCAGGAUAGUGGCUCAGGGUUCAUUUCGCUUUAUUUAGCCAUAGACAACUCGACUCUCCUUUCUUCGCAUCAAGAGGUUUUCGCAGAUCUCAGGUUUUACGUAUUCAAAAGGACCGAGAGGAAUUUCUUCACCGUCCAAGGUUCUUUCUAAUUUUCCCAUUCUAUCAAGAAACAUGCAAUGUGUAUAUACUAUAUAGUAGUAACAUCUAUCUUUGUUUCAAUCCGCAGAUACAGAUGUAUGGCGAUAUAAUAUUUUCAAAACGAUGUGGGGAUUCCCUCGGGUCCUCCCUCUUGAUACCUUCAGAAACCCGAGCAACGGAUACCUCUUCAAUGGAGAUAACUGCGAGUUUGGUGUUGAUGUGACUGUUCAUUCUCCCUUUGAAAGUUCAGAACUUUUCACUGUCGCUAGGAAUUUCCCUAACCCGAGGUUCACCUGGACUAUUCAGAGGUUCUCCACGCUGGUCGGAGAUACGCAUCUCUCUAAUACGUUCUCGGUCGGAGGAAGGAAUUGGUGAGUGAGUCCUGUCCAACACUAGUUCAAGACUAAUUAGCGUAUUGUGGUAGUAACAGAUAUUCCAUAUGAUUACCCGUUCUAAGCAUAAACAAAGUGAAAUAUCAGUCCAUUGUUUUAAAAUUUUAAGAAUAUAUAUAAGCUCCAAAAUUUGUUUAAAGAAAAUCUAUUAAAAAUUUUAAUGAAAUUAGUAAAUUUUCUAUAGUCCCAUAAUCUCGUGUCCGAAUCGAAUAUUACAUAUUAAAAACCUUUUGAUGGAUCUUGUUAUACAGGUCACUUAUUGUGUAUCCCAACGGGAACAGGCAGGAUAGUGGCUCAGGGUUCAUUUCGCUUUAUUUAGCCAUAGACAACUCGACUCUCCUUUCUUCGCAUCAAGAGGUUUUCGCAGAUCUCAGGUUUUACGUAUUCAAAAGGACCGAGAGGAAUUUCUUCACCGUCCAAGGUUCUUUCUAAUUUUUCCAUUCUAUCAAGAAACAUGCAAUGUGUAUAUACUAUAUAGUAGUAACAUCUAUCUUUGUUUCAAUCCGCAGAUACAGAUGUAUGGCGAUAUAAUAUUUUCAAAACGAUGUGGGGAUUCCCUCGGGUCCUCCCUCUUGAUACCUUCAGAAACCCGAGCAACGGAUACCUCUUCAAUGGAGAUAACUGCGAGUUUGGUGUUGAUGUGACUGUUCAUUCUCCCUUUGAAAGUUCAGAACUUUUCACUGUCGCUAGGAAUUUCCCUAACCCGAGGUUCACCUGGACUAUUCAGAGGUUCUCCACGCUGGUCGGAGAUACGCAUCUCUCUAAUACGUUCUCGGUCGGAGGAAGGAAUUGGUGAGUGAGUCCUGUCCAACACUAGUUCAAGACUAAUUAGCGUAUUGUGGUAGUAACAGAUAUUCCAUAUGAUUAACAGGAAUAUACAAGUGAAUCCACGUGGCCGUUCAACGGGGGCGGGAAGAGCCAUGUCGAUGUAUCUUAUCCUUAAUGCGAACGAGAAAGUUAGACCCAAUGAGAAGAUUUAUGUUCGAGCAAGGCUUAGAGUUAUUAACCAAAGGAUAUUCUCGCUCUUGUGGACAACCAUCGAAAGGCCAAGUAAGCACAUGAUCCGCUCAUCGGUACUAUAAAAUUAAUCAUCGUUACGGACACAUCCCCGAUGACUAAUGAAUGUCUCCUUGUCGAUUUUUUGUUUUUGUUUUGCAGUCGAUCAUUGGUUCACUACUCCGGGAUUAGGUUGGGGAUACGAUGAGUUUAUCUCUCUAGAUGAUCUCAGAGAUUUUUGGAAAGGUUAUGUCAUGGGUGAUGUGUUGAUAGUUGAAGUCGAAAUGGAGGCAAUUUCUUCAACCAAGUAUUUCCCUAGUUAGAUUUCUCUAACUAAGAAACUUUGUAGCUCUAAGUUUGUUUUAUUAUCAACCAACAAUAAUAAGAAAGGUAUGUGUUUGUGUUUCAAAUAAAUGAACAAAACCUUAUCUCUCUUCUUGCAUAAGCACUGCAACUCAAAAUCCUUACUGGACAUUUGGUUAUAAACUGACUAUUUCAGGACCAUAUUAGUGUUUUAUCUCUUCACCAUAAAAGCAAACACUUCAACACAAACGUUGAGGCAAUUAAGGAAGCAUGAUUUUUAUUUUAUUUUACCCAUGAAUUGGAGUUGGUCAUCUGACUCAUUAUCUUUGCAGAAAAAGAGCAUCCGUAGAAUACGUUUAGUACAUUUUUAUUCAGUUGGGUUCAAAUUUAAAACAUUGGGAAUGGAUGACAUUCUAUAGAAUUACGAAUUUACGAUUUAGAUAUUAAUUACCACCCCUAAAAGAUUAAUCUAGUAGGUGAUGGACAUUAGACCAUCUUUAUCGGUGGUUUCUAAAAAGGAUUUUACAAAAAAAAAAAUAGUGGUGGAUUCAACAAAUCAGCAAAAGUCCGGUAACAAAAGUGAUUAAAUAAGGAUUGAUUUUUAUUAGUUUCAUGUAUUGUUCGCGGAUUCCACUGACACGUGGCGGCCCGCGAUUGGUUCUUUUUUAAUUUGUUUUUUUGGACAAAAAAAGAUAAAAAACAAAAUUAAGAAAACCUUAAACCUACUUUAGCUAUAAUCAUGCUUUUAAUAGUAGAAAAACCACAUGGGUUUUGUGACCACCAAUUUUAUAACAUUAAUUAACAUGGGGUUCUGACCACUCGUCCGGUAUAGAGCCGGUUUUGAAAGAUAUUUCAAUUUUUAAUUCGCCAUGCAAAACACGAGGGAAUAAAAACAGCAUUUAUCAACGAACAAUACUUAGGUUCACCCCAGGGGUGAACCUUUAAAUUCACCACUUUCCUUAUAUCUAAUAAAUUUCCAUAUAUAUAAAUAAACAGUAUAUAUUAAAUUAAAAAGCUAAAAUAACUAAAAAAAUAACUAAAUCCUAAACUCUAAAUCAUAAACCAUUAAACCUAAACCCAAAUCCUAUACCCUAAAUUUUAAAUCCGAAUCAUAGAUCAUAAACUCAAACCUUAUAUCCAAAUUCUACACCUUAAACCCUAAAUCUAAACCCAAAUCCUAGAUCCUAAACCCUAAAUCCUAAACCCAAACCCUAAACCCUAAAUCAAACCGUAAACCCUAAACCCAAAUCGUAAACCCUAAACCCAAACUUUAGAUCUUAAACCCUAAACCCAAAACUAGAGUUUAAGAUCUAGAGUUUGGGUUUAGGGUUUACGGUUUGGGUUUAGGGUUUACGGUUUGGAUUUAGGGUUUAGAGUUUAGGUUUAGGAUUUAGGGUUUAGGGUCUAGGAUUUAGGGUUUAGGUCUAGGAUUUAGGGUUUAGAUUUAGGGUUUAAGGUGUAGAAUUUGGGUAUAGGAUUUGAGUUUAUGAUCUAGGAUUUGGGUUUAAAAUUUAGGGUAUAGGAUUUGGAUUUGGGUUUAGGGUUUGUGUUUAGAAUUAAGGUUUAGUGAUUUAUGAUUUAGAGUUUAGAGUUUAGUUAUUUUUUAAGUUAUUUUAGCUUUUUAAUUUAAUAUAUAUUAUUUAUUUACAUAUAUAGAAAUUUAUUGGAUAUAAGGAAAGUGGUGAAUUUCAAGGUUCACCUUAGGGGUGAACCUAAGUAUUGUUCUUUAUCAACCACAGUUGUCAUUUAUUAUCUUUAGCUUCCGGACUAAAAUCUGAAAUGGACCAAAAGGCUAAAAAAGAGUCUCACACAUCCAAAAAAAAUCUGUAUGGACCAAGUGAUUGUGAAUUAUCAUUUUAUCCUUAAUGAAUGAAUAAUAUGAACCAUUGGAUUUUAUAAUCUUUCUAUAAAUCAGAACCGUCGGAUUAAGAGAAGAAAAGAGGAAUAUUAUAUUUACAAAAGUACCAUUAAUGAAACUCCAACCAGAGCCAUUGAUCAUCUUUUCUAUGUUUUAAUCUUGGCCACACGCUUUCACAGAUCUCCCAUUCUCUAUCCUCUCCCCCUCUUUUAUCUGACGCAUAAAUAACUCAGAGCCACACGAUUUUCAUUAUUUUAUUCUCUCAUUCGACUAGGUACAACUAGUAUAACUCAUACAACUAUACAUGUUAAAAAAUAAUAUAACUGGUACAACUGGUAUAUAAAUGUUAUAAUUCAUGUACAAUUUGCAGCUACUAUAAUUAACUCAACUAUUAAAUCAUUUUUUACAUAUGAUGAUAAAAUUUCAUCUAUUUUUUCUGAGGCUCUUCAAUUAUUGUUAAAUUAUUAAAUUACACUAUCAAUUUUAUUUAAGAUACCUUAUACUUUUAAGGUUUGUUAAUUAGAUUGACCAUAUUAUUAUGAAAAAUAAACAUCUAAAAUAUAUUUACAAAGUUAUAAUGUGAAAAUAUUGGUACAACUCCUAAAACUAAACAUAUAAAAAAUUUGGUAUAUUUUUUUAUUAUAUAUUAAACAGGAAUUACUGGUAUAACUGGUACAACUUUGACAUUUCAAAAAUUGACAAAAUCAAUUUGGUAUUUCCAUAUGAAAAAACAAUCAAAUGACCAAACUGGUAACUGUUUAGAAAGAUUCCUUAUUUUUAAUGAUUUUUUUUGUUUUUUGUUUUGUUUUUAGCAAUUCUUACACCAUCAAAUAAGUUUACAUGAUCUAUCUUAUACUUUUAAGGUUUAUUAACUUGUUUGUCUACAUAAUUUAUGGGAACACAUACAUGAAAUGUAUUUAAACAGUUAUGAAAUGUAUUUACCAGACUAGUAAUACUGAUAUAACUAGUACAACUACUCAGGUUCUGAAAUUUAAAUAUUCCUUCGAGUAUGUCAUAUGAAAAAAAUCAAUAAAGUGGCUAAAUUGUAAAGUAUUUAUAAAGGUUCCUUAUGAUAUUUCAUGGGGGUUUUUUUUUUUUUGCAAAUCUAACACAAUCACAUAAGUUUGCAUAAUCUACCUUAUACUUUUAAGGUUUGUUAACUUCUUUGUCCACAUAAUUUUUGGAAAACAUACAUGAAAUGUAUUUUAACAAAAUUUAUGAUUUCAUUUUAUUGGGGCAUAGACAUGUACACAUAAUGAAGUGGUACAACUGAGGUAAGUUUAAAUUUUAUGUCGUACAACUAGUUUUUUCGAUUUCACUGUCAAAAUAUAACUAUGUACAAACUGGUAUAACUCAAAAACUAGUACAACUAUGUACAAACCGGUACAACUCGAGUACUGGUACAACUAUGUUAUUUCAUUUUAUAUUGUGCAUUACAUUUUAAACGUGUAUCAUGUUUUAAACAUUAUGGUUGAAUAUUAAAUCAAGUCGUUGUACUAAUUGUACUAUUCCUAAAUAUUUUUGUGUAGUUUAACCUGUUAUCUAUUUCUUUUGGUUGAAAUACAUUAAAUCAAAGUCGAUAAAAUUAAGAGAAAAAUUUGUUAGGUACGUAAAUACAAAACGUAAAACUAAAUAAUAUUUAUAAAAAAUUUAGAUAUUAAAAAGAAACUGAUGGUAUUGGGAUUAUAAAUUUCAUAAUUUUUUAAAAACUUCAUUAAUUUUUGAAGAUUUUUUUUUUUUGUAGGAAAAAAUUUAAAUUAUAAAAUAGAAUUAAAUAAUAAACUGAGUGAAAUGUACGAAUUUGCAAACAUAAGAAUCAAAAACUAUUUGAAAUCAAAUUUGUAGAUACAACAAACAUAUGUAUAUCAUAUUUUAUAUCAAAAUAUGCAAGUUUCACCAUGUUCUUCUUGUGUAUGUGAUUACAAUUGCUCUAUUUCUUGUAAUAUUUUCAUUUCCAUAUCAAGAAAAUGAACUUUGAGGCGAGAAACCUACUAACCAGCACUAGAAAAACACAAAUCAAGUGUUGCCACAAUUAAACUAGUAAUAGUACUACUGUAGUUAAACCGGUUAAACUAUUAUUGUUAUAGUCCAAAUACCAAAUAUUAAUGUUUAUGUAUUUUUUUCAAACUCGUGAUGGCUUAUGCACUAUCUUUUGGCAGAUGCAAGCGGGAAAGAUUAAACUAGUAUAACUAUGUACAGACGGUACAACUCAAAUACUAGUACAACUAUGUUAUUUCAUUACGAUUAAAACAAUUAUUUGCAAAAAAAAACACAAAAAUCAUACAUCAAACCCAAUCUUUUUCUUCUUUCCGGUGACUCGCGUUUUUAGAACAAUGUUUGAAGAAUUUUCUGGCUCUGCAUCUAGCUUUUUGGCCUCAAGACCAAAAAGAUGAAGAUGAUCUUUUUCCGAAAAUCGUACAACUAGUAUAACUAGUACAACUUGUAAACGUAUCAGUUUCAAAUCAAAUAUUAUUAAAAAUAUACUAUUCAUAUAUUUGACACAUGCAUGCGGGGUAGAUUAGACCAAUAUGUCUUAUUGGUUCUACAUCAUUCUCUUUUCUAGCAUCUUCGUAUGCCGAAAACAAUAAAUAUAUGAAAUUAUUAUACAUCUCAUAAUUAAGUGAUGUCAUUUCAUAAUUUCUCAAAGCCAUGUCAUCUUUUUUUGUGAGAAUGAACAUGGUGAUGAUACAUAAGAAAAUGAUUUUUCAAAUAAUAAAUAUGACAUACUCAAUAUGUACUAGUUGUACUAAUUCGAGUUGUAGAAGUUGUACUAGUUUGAGUUGUACUAGUUGUACUAGUAAUACUUUUAGUUCUUCAUUAUUUUGGAUAUCGGAUGGAAAAGAUAAAAUUUGACUCUGGAUAUGAUAUAAUUGAUUAAACAUGAUUAUGGGUUGAUCGAUUUGAGAUAAGAAAGAGAAAAUUAGUGGAUGGGGGAUAAGAAAAUUUUUGAUUUUGUAUUAUGGUGGAAGAACUAUGAAUGGGGAAGAAAUGGGGGAAGAAGAAGGAGAUUGGGUCGGAUUUUGGGUCUGGAUCUGGGUCGGAUAUUGGGUUGGAUAGUAAUGGCAUAGGUUAGUAAAUAUGUUUAACUCUUUAGGUUUUUCAGUUAUUUAACAUAGAUUUCUAUUUAAAUUUAAAUGCAAAAUAAAUAAAUAAAGUGAUGGGUCUAAUUGAGAUUUUUUGGAGACCAAGUGGUCCAUCUCAGCAUUUGAUCCUUAGCUUCCCAAUGCAUCUUGAAGCAUCGCCCUCUCAAUAUAGAUACAAGUCUCGCUAGUUCCUGUUCUGCGCACUUCAAUACUUCAUUCACAAAGUUCUUGCAAGAUGACGAGUCGCUACAGAAACACCAUCUCUAUUGUUUCUCUCUUGUUUUGUCUCUUCAUCACAUCUGCGUCUGCACGUUCCUUCAUACGUCAAUACACUGAUGACUUUAACACAAAUCUUCAGCGUAUGCAAUCUCUUUUGCUUCCAUCUAAUAUCUUUUAGCCUCUGUGUAGUUUUAAACAUUGUUUGACACAUAUGUGUUCUGGCUCAAAACAGAGUAGAAUGGAGCAGGACCAAACCCAAACCUGGGAGAAGCGAACUACGAAGACAAAUAUCAAGAGAUCUCAUCUCGUGAUUAUAAAGUUUCAGCUUCAAACGCAGUGAAAGGUCUGAGAGAUCGUCCUCCAUCGUCUUACACUCUCAAGAUGGAGUCUUUCAACACUCUCCUUAAGUCAAACUACGCAGAGAGAUACGAGUCUCGCCCUUUUGCAGUUGGUGGAUACAACUGGUAUGUUUAGAGCACCUCCAUUGGUUAGAGUCUUUAAUGGGUUCUUAAAAUUAUUUUAUUUAUUAGUUGUGUACUUUAAAUAGUUUAGAACCCUUAAUAUUGUAAUUAGUUUUGAGAAGGUCCAAUGGGAGAACCUCUAUGAGGUUCUUAAUUUUUUUUUUUUUAAGAAAUUAAACCAAUUGGUAAAAUGAAAGUGUUUUAGAUUUUUACAAGUAUUUGAGAAGACAAACAAUAACUAAUACACGAGAAAAAAAAGUUUUAAACCAUUUGAAACAAAGUGAUAAAGAAGAAGCCAAGUUCUUUGUUGUAGUUUGCAAAACUUACCCUCCAUAUGAGUAUGGACCCGACUGAUACCAAACCAUGAUCUCUUGCCUGUUUAUGAAUUAAACUAAAACAUGAGUAUGACAUCGGCCACCAAGAGAAUCAGAAGACCUCAAAAUGUGAGCUUACCGGGAAACUACUUUCAUAACCAUAGAAUCUGUCUGAAGAAACCAUUCCCAAGCUGCUUUCCCCUGUCUCUCGUCCUGAUCAAAAUCUACAGAAGCAUAUUCUGGAACAGAAGAUACAACAGGAGGAAGUGUGAAACCGGCAUGAUCAGAUCUUGCAGGAGGAGGAUUCCUAGCAGAGACACUGCCUCUAUCUCCUAAAACAUCCUCUCUAAGUCUUAGAACAACCUGAAUGAGAGAUCUCUCACACUGCUGACUUCACCAGAUACCUAACGAUUACAAGAGAUUUCGAAGUUGAAUAUAAAGCAAAAGAAGGAGAAAAGAUUUGAACUUUGCUAAAGAUCAUAAUAACCUCAACAAGAUCAUCGUUAUUCCCUUUCGAGAUACGGAUAUCAUCAGGAGACUUGAAUAACAAACAAACACACAACAAAAGACAAUAUAAAAACAACACUUUACAAAAGAAAUGAAGAUAAAAAGUGGACACGAACACUGAAGACAAUAUAAAAACAACACUUUACGAAACAAUGAUCAUGGACACAAAUUGCAAUGUGAGAUUUCCACAGAAACUGAAUAAAGGUCGUACCUUUUCAGUUGGAAUGUGAGAUUCCACUAACACUUUUCUAAGACGCGGCCGGUUAAUCUCCUCGUCGUCCGUCUCUGAAACGCCGUCGUUUUGAUCGAAAAGGAGAUCGGGAGAUCCUUCUGCGUUUACACAAGCAAACGAGAACUCUUCUUCCUCUCCUGCUUCCUCUUCCUAUGGAAUCUUCGAGUUUACUCCAAGAUCUCUCGAGUUUUCGAAUUUCUUCACCCUCUUCUGAAAAUCCCAGCUUCUUGGUGAAAUCCUCGCUCAACUUCAUGGACAUCUCCAUUAAGCGUUCAUCGUCGAUGGAAGGGAAAGCAAUUAAGGGUUGGUCGAAUAGGGUUUUGCCACGUAAGGGUUCCUUACCGAUCCUAAAAAGCCCAGUUUAAGACGCGGUUUUUUCUUUUUUUUUGCUUUUUUCAUUUUUUUUUUUUUACUUUUGGUUGAAACUCUCCUUAAGAAUCCCCCGAUGGAGGUGGUCUUAGGUAAUCUGAUUUUUAAUUUAUUGAAUAUAAUCUCAAAAUAACAAUAUGUGUUUACAGGACACUUGUUGUGUACCCUAACGGGAACAAGAAGGACAGUGGUUCAGGGUACCUUUCUCUUUACGUAGCCAUCGACAACUCCACUCUCGUUGGUGCACAGCAAGAAGUUCUAGCAGAUCUCAGGUUUUACGUCUUCAACAAUAACGAGAGGAAGUACUUCACCAUCCAAGGUUUUAUAAACUUUGAUCUUUUAAACAAGAUAAAUUAUGUGCUUAAGUAGGCCUGCCGGUUUAGGUUGUUAGGUUUAUUCGGUUUUUCGUUAGUUCGAUUCAGUUUGGUAUUUAGGUAGUUCAAUUGAUGAAAAUUCUACUGAUAUUAACCAAAAAAAUUUAUUCCGAUUUAAGUUUUUGAUUAAAAACUAGGGGUUUUUCGGUUACUUUAUUUUAAUGCUUAAUUCGGUUUGGAAUUUUGGUAUGGUUUGGUUAUAAUUUUUAAAAAUAUUAAAAAACUAAACUAACCGAUUGCCAAACUGAUAACAAUUUUUUUAAAAGAUCUUCGAAUUGAACCGGACUUUUAACCAAAAUUGUACCAAAAGCAGAUAAUUUUGGUUCGGUUGGGUGAUGCCGGUUCCUAAAAAAAUCACAGGCCUAUGCUUACAAGUAACCAUCUAUCAUCUUUGUUUGGUGUAAUCUGCAGAUACUACUGUACGGAGAUUCAACGUCUUCAAAACAAUGUGGGGAUUCUCUCAGGUCCUCCCUGUUGACACCUUCAAAAAUCCGAAAAACGGAUACCUCUACGAUGGAGAUCACUGUGAGUUUGGUGUUGAUGUGAUCAUUCCUUCUAUAGCUGAGAACUCAGAACUCUUCUCCGCCACUGAGAAGUUCUUUAACCCGACAUCCACCUGGACCAUUCGGGGUUUCUCCACCCUGCUUAAAGAUAGUUACCUAUCAGAUGUGUUCUCUAUUGGAGGAAGAAAUUGGUGAGUCUGACAUUAAAAUCAAAACAAAAGCUCUCUACUAGAUUUUAGAGUAACAAGUACUAUAUUCAAUAUGAUGAUUAGGAAUAUACAAGUAUAUCCAAAUGGUAGAGGCUCGGGGGAGGGAAAGUUCAUGUCCAUGUUUCUUAACCUUAACGAGAAGGAGAAACUCAGACCCUAUGAGAAGGUUUAUGUUCGAGCUAAGCUUCGGGUUCUUAACCAACGGAAACUCAAUAAUGUCCAAAGGCAGCGUAAGCAAAGCAAAGCAUAUAUAAUUAGUAUAAUGUGAUAUGUGUGUGUUUAUCGCCAUGACUAAUGUUUUUUUUUUUGUUUUCCUUUUCUUUAAUUGCAGUUAAUAGUUGGUAUAAUAGAGCAGUAGCUAGCUGGGGGUUUAAUCAGUUUAUAUCUUUUGAUGAUCUGAGAGAUUCAUCAAAGGGUUAGUUUAAAAUGUGUUUUCAUUGGUUUAAGGUAUUAAAGAUUAAUCAUUGUUAGAUAAUAUAAUUUUUGUUAUUUAAAAAAAAAUCUUUAUAAUUUUAAAAGUUAACAUCGACAAAGAUUUAAAUAAUUAACAUAUAGGUAUAGUAUUAAAAUAUUAAAUUAUAUCUAUUUAAUUUAAUUUAUACUAUAUAUAAAUCUAAUGGAUCAUUUAUUGUUUAAAUCCAAUUAUUGAUAGUCCAACAAAAUUUUUUGAUAGGUCCAAAAUUUAAAUGAUAAGAUUAGAGAUUAAAUGUACCAUGAUUUUCUAGGAAUAGGUUCAUUAGGUCCAUUUUUUUAAAAAAAUCUACGACCAAUAUAUUGUGGAUAAGCAUAAUAUUCUCUUUUUGAAUGAUAUUGCAUAAUAUUGAAAUAGAUUUUCUUUGGUAUUAUCAUGAUUGUUUAACAAAAAUUGUUACAAUCCCGAAAUUAUAGGAUUAUUAUACCAUUAUAUAUUUUUAAAUUUUGAACAAUAAUGUCACUGUUAAAUGUAUACAUCCGUAUUUGAUUUUUGAUUUUUUUUUAAUACACUCAACUUCAUCUUCUCCAAAUAUGUAUGUGUUUUAGUACAUCAAAGGAAUCAUAUAAUACAAAGAGAAGAUUCAUUCAAAUAAGGUUAACCCAAGUUUAACAAAAAAUUCAAAGAGCAAUAACUCAAGUAUGAGUCGAGCAUGAUUACUGUUACUAAACCUCUGUCAGUAGAAUAUGAAGUAUGGUCGAACGUGAUCAUACUGAAUUGAAAACGUAUGGUCAUCUAUGAACCUAAUAUAUUCUUUUAGUAACAGAAUCUAAAGACACAAGUCAUUGAUUUAUAUUUAGCAAAGUAAAGUCAUCACACAAUCAAGAAAGAUCGGUUAAUAAUGGGGAGACUUAAGGUGAAACUAACCCGUGAUUUUACUUUGAUAGGCUUAAAAAUUUAAAUGAUAAAAUUAAAGAUUAAAUGUAACAUGAUUUUUUAAGAAUAGAUCCAUAUAUAGGUUCAUUUUUAAAAAAAUCACACAUGAAUCAAAGUUGUGAAUUCUGUUUUAAUAUAUAAGAUGGUUUGGAUAUCAACUUAUGAAGAUGUACUGGACUUUCUUGUCAUUAAAAAAAAAUAAAAUUAGUUUAUAGUCUCCAAAGUCUCGUGUUCGAAUCGAAUGUUAUUCAAUUUUUAUUUUUUUGGAUGGAUCUUGUUAUACAGGUCACUUAUUGUGUACCCCAACGGAUACAGGCAGGAUAGUGGUUCAGGGUUCAUUUCGCUUUAUGUAGCCAUAGACAACUCAACUCUCGUUGAAGCACAUCAAGAGGUUUUCGCGGAUCUCAGAUUUUACGUAUUCAAAAAUAACGAGAGGAAGUACUUCACCAUCCAAGGUUCUUGCUAAUUUUCAUUCUAUCUUUUGUUUUUUAUGACUACUAGGAAGUUUUGGGCUGUACAUCUCCCUAGACCGAAAAAACAUGCAAUGUGUAUAUAGAAGUGACAUCUAUCUAUAUAUCUAUGUUAUAAUCCGCAAAACGAUGAGUAUGCAUGGCGAUACAAUAUUUUCAAAACGAUGUGGGGAUUCUCUCAGGUCCUCCCUCUUGCUACCUUCAGAGACCCGAGCAACGGAUACCUUUACGAUGAAGAUCACUGCGAGUUUGGUGUUGAUGUGACUAUUCAUUCUCCUUUUCAAAGUUCAGAACUUUUCUCUGUAGCUAGGAACUUUGAUAAAUCGAGGUUCACCUGGACCAUUCGGAGUUUCUCC